UGAGGUCGUAGUGUGGUCGUAGUGCGGUCGUAGUGCGGUCGUAGUGCGGUCCUACCUGAGAGGUCGUAGUGCGGUCGUAGUGCGGUCGUAGUACGGUCCUACCUGAGAGGUCGUAGUACGGUCGUAGUGUGGUCGUAGUGCGGUCGUAGUGUGGUCGUAUUGCGGUCGUAGUGAGGUCGUAGUGCGGUCGUAGUGAGGUCGUAGUGCGGUCGUAGUGCGGUCGUAGUGCGGUCCUACCUGAGAGGUCGUAGUGUGGUCGUAGUGUGGUCGUAGUGAGGUCGUAGUGUGGUCGUAGUGCGGUCGUAGUGCGGUCAUACCUGAGAGGUCGUAGUGUGGUCGUAGUGUGGUUGUAGUGCGGUCGUAGUGAGGUCGUAGUGCAGUCGUAUUGCGGUCCUACCUGAGAGGUCGUAGUGUGGUCGUAGUGCGGUCGUAGUGAGGUCGUAGUGUGGUCCUACCUGAGAGGUCGUAGUGCGGUCGUAGUGUGGUCAUAGUGCGGUCAUAGUGUGGUCGUAGUGCGGUCGUAGUGCGGUCAUAGUGUGGUCCUACCUGAGAGGUCGUAGUGCGGUCAUAGUGUGGUCCUACCUGAGAGGUCGUAGUCUGGUUGUAGUGUGGUUGUAGUGUGGUCCUACCUGAGAGGUCGUAGUGACGUCGUGGUGAGGUCGUAGUGAGGUCGUAGUGAGGUCGUAGUGUGGUCGUAGUGCGGUCGUAGUGCGGUCGUAGUGCGGUCCUACCUGAGAGGUCGUAGUGCGGUCGUAGUGCGGUCAUAGUGUGGUCGUAGUGAGGUCGUAGUGUGGUCGUAGUGUGGUCCUACCUGAGAGGUCAUAGUGCGGUCGUAGUGCGGUCGUAGUGUGGUCGUAGUGUGGUCGUAGUGUGGUCGUAGUGUGGUCCUACCUGAGAGGUCGUAGUGUGGUCAUAGUGUGGUCCUACCUGAGAGGUCGUAGUGUGCGUAGCAGUCGUAGUACUCUGAGGAUUCCCAGGAUGCGGUUCCCUCCGGUCAAGGCCAGAGACACCAGGAUGUCCACCAUAGAGACAAACACCAGGAUCCCAUCCAGAACAUUCCAGCUGCUCUUCAGGUAGCUCUGUUUACCCCAGCAGAACCCCAACGCUACGAUCUACAGACACAACAUUACGAAAACAAUAACAGAGAGCAGACUGAAACAGACAACAGACAGAGAUCAGACAACAGACUGAAACAGACAACAGACAACAGACUG
rnacentral:lncRNA from 1 species